rnacentral:rRNA from 1 species
AACAAAAACAUGUCCUUUUGAAUUUAAUUUAAGGUCUAACCUGCCCAAUGAAAAAUUUAAAUGGCCGCAGUAUUUUGACUGUGCAAAGGUAGCAUAAUCAUUAGUUUUUUAAUUGAAAGCUUGUAUGAAGGGUUGGACGAGAUAAAAACUGUCUUAAGUUAAUUUAUUUUAGAAUUUAAUUUUUAAGUUAAAAAGCUUAAAUAUAAUUAAAAGACGAGAAGACCCUAUAGAUCUUUAUAAUUUUUAUUUUAAUUAAAUUUUAGAAUUAAUUAUUAUUUAAUUUAAAAAUUAUUAUAUUGGGGUAAUAUAAAGAUUUAAGUAAUUCUUUAUUUAUUUAUACAUUAAUAUAUGAUUAUUUGAUCCAAUAUUAUUGAUUAUAAGAUUAAGUUACCUUAGGGAUAACAGCGUAAUUUUUUUAAAGAGUUCAUAUCGAUAAAAAAGUUUGCGACCUCGAUGUUG